rnacentral:rRNA from 1 species
UACGGGGGGAGCAAGCGUUGUUCGGAUUUACUGGGCGUAAAGGGCGCGUAGGCGGCCACCGCAAGUCAGUUGUGAAAUCUCUGGGCUUAACCCAGAACGGUCAGCUGAUACUGCGGGGCUAGAGUGCAGAAGGGGCAAGCUGGAAUUCUCGGUGUAGCGGUGAAAUGCGUAGAUAUCGAGAGGAACACCUGCGGCGAAGGCGGGUUGCUGGGCUGACACUGACGCUGACAGCGCGAAAGCUAGGGGAGCGAACGGG